rnacentral:tRNA from 1 species
GGGGAUAUAGCUCAGCGGUAGAGUGAUUGCCUAGUAUGCACAAGGCCCUGGGUUCAAUCCCCAGCAACUCUC